GCAUAAUAAAUUGCCCAUUAAUUGUGGGAUAGCAUGAACGGAUUAAUGAGAGAUAUCCUUUUCCACGUAUAAAAAUAUAACCUAACCUUUAAGUGAAGAGGCUUAAAUAUAAUUAAAGGACAAGAAGACCCUAUAGAGCUUAAAAUAAAACAAUCUAUAAUUGUCACCCUUUCGGUUGGGGCGACCAAGGAAUAAUUCAUCCUUUAUAUAAAGAUAAACUAAUCACAACAUAGAUCCUAUAAAGAUCACAGAAACAAGCUACCUUAGGGAUAACAGGCUAAUCUUGUUAUUGAGUUCAUAUCUACAACAAGGA
rnacentral:rRNA from 1 species